CCCUGUGGACCGCCUUUUCAGUUUAAAAAAAUAAAAAAAAUGAUGGAAAUGUCGAAAAAUAAAAGAAAAUAAGUUUCCCAUGUGAUAUGUGGUCUAGUUGUUGUGAAAAUUUACGAACAUGAAUUUCGACUUAUUUGCAAAAUCUCUCGAGAAUUUGUAAAAUGGGCAUAACUUUUGCAUACGAACUCGGAUGAAAAAGUUUUUUAUAUGAAAAAUCAUCUACUCGAAAAGAUACAUCCGAAUUUAACAGGGGGAAUCCCGUUAAACAUUUUCAAAAUCCUCAAAAACCUACCAGAAAAAAAGAUACGGGGCUUUUAAGAUCUGGAGAGGCAAAAAAAUUCAAAAAAA
rnacentral:lncRNA from 1 species